UACGUAGGUGGCAAGCGUUGUCCGGAUUUACUGGGCGUAAAGAGCGCGCAGGCGGUCGUUCAAGUCGCGUGUGAAAGCCCCCGGCUCAACUGGGGAGGGUCACGCGAUACUGAUCGACUCGAAGGCAGGAGAGGGAAGUGGAAUUCCCGGUGUAGUGGUGGAAUGCGUAGAGAUCGGGAAGAAUACCAGUGGCGAAGGCGUUCUGCUGGGCCGUUGCUGACACUGAGGCGCGACAGCGUGGGGAGCAAACAGG
rnacentral:rRNA from 1 species